rnacentral:rRNA from 1 species
UAUUGGUCAAUGGUCGGGAGACUGAACCAGCCAAGCCGCGUGAGGGAGGAAGGUACAGAGUAUCGUAAACCUCUUUUGUCAGGGAACAAAGGCGGGGACGUGUCCCCGGAUGAGUGUACCUGAAGAAAAAGCAUCGGCUAACUCCGUGCCAGCAGCCGCGGUAAUACGGGGGAUGCGAGCGUUAUCCGGAUUUAUCGGGUUUAAAGGGGGCGCGGGGGGUCUUUUAAGUCGGCGGUAAAAGCCCGGGGCUCAACCCCGGCCCGCCGUUGAAACUGGCAGUCUCGAGUUGGAGAGAAGUAUGCGGAAUGCGCGGUGUAGCGGUGAAAUGCGUAGAUAUCGCGCAGAACUCCGAUUGCGAAGGCGGCAUGCCGGCUCCACACUGACGCUGAGGCACGAAAGCGUGGGUAUCG